rnacentral:lncRNA from 1 species
GUUAAUCAGCUGACCUUAAAUUACAUUAUUCUGGAAAUCCAGGUGCACUUAAUGUAAUCACAGGGGUCUUUAAAUGUGGUAGAGAGAAGGAAGCAGAUGAGUCAGAGUCAGAGGGAUGAAGUGUGAGAAAGAUUUAACCAGACAUUGCAGGCUUGGAAGAUGGAAGAAGGGGGCCACUGGCCAAAGAAUGCAGGCAGCCGGAAAAAGUAAGAGAGUGGAUUCUCCCCUCUAGAACCUCUAGAAAGGAACUCAGCCCUGCUGACAUCUUGAGGUUCAUCCAGUGAGACUCAUUUUGAACUUCUGACCUCCAAAACUGAAGGUGAGCAAUUAAUUGCAUAGAAGACCCAGGUCUUCCCAGAGGCUUUCUCGAAGCUCUGCCUGAUCUGCCGUAGAUUCCGGGGACUGUUGGACAGUGACUUCUGGAACAGACACUCUUUGAAUUUUCUUUCUAUGGGAAUUGCAUAGUGCUGCGUUCGACGUGCUAAAGGAAACAUUACACUGAUAGGCAGAAAGAAAGAGAGGAAGAGAGAAGAGAGACUGAAAGGCAAACAGAAUCCACUAUCCUCCAUGGAGACAAACACUGUCAUGGACAAGCACCUGGACUAUCUCCUCCCGCAAAGAGAUAUGGGCUGGUGGGAAAGCUGCUGACUAGCCAAGGUCACAAGCUCUCUCCUCUCUGUAAGUGUCUCAAGGCCAAAGAUGGGCUGGUGGGAAAGCUCCAACCAGCAAAGCCAUAUGCUCCCCCUCCCCUCCCUAAAACCCCAAA